rnacentral:rRNA from 1 species
AACGAACGCUGACGGCAGGCCUAACACAUGCAAGUCGAACGCACCGCAAGGUGAGUGGCGCACGGGUGAGUAACACGUGGGAAUGUACCCUUUGGUUCGGAAUAACGUUUGGAAACGAACGCUAAUACCGGAUGAGCCCUGUGGGGGAAAGAUUUAUCGCCAAAGGAGCAGCCCGCGUCUGAUUAGCUAGUUGGUGGGGUAAAGGCCUACCAAGGCGACGAUCAGUAGCUGGUCUGAGAGGAUGAUCAGCCACACUGGGACUGAGACACGGCCCAGACUCCUACGGGAGGCAGCAGUGGGGAAUAUUGGACAAUGGGCGGAAGCCUGAUCCAGCCAUGCCGCGUGAGUGAUGAAGGCCUCGGUUGUAAGUACUCUUCGUCACGCGACGAUGAUGACGGUAGGCGUGAGAAGAAG